UAAUGAUUUGUCUUCUGAUGAUGAGGAUGAUCGUCGCAAGAAGCAAGUAUCACGAUCGUCUCGCCGGCGACGCUCUCGCUCAUCAUCGUCAUCGUCAUCGUCAUCA
rnacentral:sRNA from 1 species